rnacentral:rRNA from 1 species
UGAAGUAAAACAUUCGUAACAAGGUUUCCGUAGGUGAACCUGCGGAAGGAUCAUUACCGAGUGAGGGCCCUCUGGGUCCAACCUCCCACCCGUGUCUAUCGUACCUUGUUGCUUCGGCGGGCCCGCCGUUUCGACGGCCGCCGGGGAGGCCUUGCGCCCCCGGGCCCGCGCCCGCCGAAGACCCCAACAUGAACGCUGUUCUGAAAGUAUGCAGUCUGAGUUGAUUAUCGUAAUCAGUUAAAACUUUCAACAACGGAUCUCUUGGUUCCGGCAUCGAUGAAGAACGCAGCGAAAUGCGAUAAGUAAUGUGAAUUGCAGAAUUCAGUGAAUCAUCGAGUCUUUGAACGCACAUUGCGCCCCCUGGUAUUCCGGGGGGCAUGCCUGUCCGAGCGUCAUUGCUGCCCUCAAGCACGGCUUGUGUGUUGGGCCCCCGUCCCCCUCUCCCGGGGGACGGGCCCGAAAGGCAGCGGCGGCACCGCGUCCGGUCCUCGAGCGUAUGGGGCUUUGUCACCUGCUCUGUAGGCCCGGCCGGCGCCAGCCGACACCCAACUUUAUUUUUCUAAGGUUGACCUCGGAUCAGGUAGGAUGCCGAU